rnacentral:lncRNA from 1 species
AAUUUAUUACAAAACCCUUACAAAAUAUAUGAGUUCCAAUUAUAUAUAUAACUUAGGCCAGAAGUGGCAACAAAAUACAAAAUAUCAAAAUACAAAAAAGGCUACUUCUUUCACUAUGCCAAAGGACUCAUUAAAGUGCGGAACAAGUUAUGCACUUAAGGUUUAUGGAUCCAUGGGAUCCUCGAAGACUUCAAGGGAUAGAUC